rnacentral:rRNA from 1 species
AUUGAACGCUGGCGGCAGGCCUAACACAUGCAAGUCGAACGCAUCGCAAGAUGAGUGGCAGACGGGUGAGUAACGCGUGGGAACAUACCCUUUUCUACGGAAUAGCUCUGGGAAACUGGAAUUAAUACCGUAUACGCCCUACGGGGGAAAGAUUUAUCGGGGAAGGAUUGGCCCGCGUUGGAUUAGCUAGUUGGUGGGGUAAAGGCCUACCAAGGCGACGAUCCAUAGCUGGUCUGAGAGGAUGAUCAGCCACAUUGGGACUGAGACACGGCCCAAACUCCUACGGGAGGCAUCGGUGGGGAAUAUUGGACAAUGGGCGCAAGCCUGAUCCAGCCAUGCCGCGUGAGUGAUGAAGGCCUUAGGGUUGUAAAGCUCUUUCACCGAUGAAGAUAAUGACGGUAGUCGGAGAAGAAGCCCCGGCUAACUUCGUGCCAGCAGCCGCGGUAAGAC